GCCCCUGUAGCUCAGCGGAUAGAGCGAGGCCGUCCUAAGGCCUGCGUCGGGGGUUCGAUUCCCUCCAGGGGCACCA
rnacentral:tRNA from 1 species